CCCUCGGGGAGAAGCGGGAUUGACGCGGCUAGUAGCCAAUCCCCUGAUAGGAAGUCCUGUCCGGACCGCUUCCGUCCGCAGGGCCUCACCGGGCAGACCCUGAGCCAACGCUGCUGUCGUCGCCGGGGUGUCCUGCGCCGCCUACAGUGGGCGGCGGAGCAAACAUGAAUGUUGGAGUUGCCCACAGUGAGUGUUCCUGUUGCUUGGACCUUAACAAAUAUUAUACAUAAUCUGGUAAGAAUUUUAGCUUUAUUCUAACCACUUAAAAGCUUAAGGUUUAUGUUGCCAGGGGUUGAGGAGAAGAAGGAAUGGGGAGUUAAUGUUUAAUGGGUACAGAGAUUCAGCUUUGCAUAAUGAAAAAGUUCUGGAAAUGGAUGUAGUGUGAUGGUUCCAUAAGAGGAUGAAUAUACUUGAUAUAUUAUAAACAAAAAUGGGACUUUGCCAUGGUGUGCGGUAUUGUGUUUUGUUUGCUCACUAGGACUCACACCCAGGGCCAUGUGCAUGCCAGGAGAAGGUCCAGCCUAACAAUGAUAUUUUUUGAUCGCUUAUUGAGAUAUAAUUCAUAUUAAAUUCUAUUACUAUUAAAUUCUAAUACUAUUAAAUUCACCUAUUUGAAAUCUAUGCUUCACAAUUAAAACAUACAAUUCAGUGGUUUGUAGUAUAUAAGAAUUAAUUUUAAAGAAUUCUGAUCUGGUAUAGGGUUCUGUUUUUUCUAUCAUGCUUUUUAUCAUUGGGCCUUUUUUAUAUGUAAGACUUUUUUCUCCUGUUGUUUGCAUAGAAUCUAGAAAAUAGUGGGUAAUUUUAGUAAAAAUUACAAGACACUGUAAUUCACGUUAUUAUAAGGAAUUGAUUAAUCAAAAUGCUUGAGAAGCAUUUCUCUUUUUGGCCAACUGGAGUCUAAUGAAAAUAAUUUGGUUUCAAUCCUUAAGUCUUUCUGAAUUGUUUACGUGUACUUUCCUCAUUCAGUACAGAAAUUUUGAGCUUAAUCAUACUCAAGAUUUUAUGAUAUGUUAGCUGCUCUCUGUUUUUAUAGAAAUAGUUUUUAUACUAUGUGUCAUUAUCUUCAAAGAAGUCACUUAGAGUACAAGACAUAAACCAAAAGAUUUUUAUAGAAAAGAAACAAACAGAUAAUAACACAAAUCUGUCUUUUCAACA